GUUAAAAUGGAAAGGAGCUCCCCCUUUCAAUUAGGGAAUCUUAGGAUAUGCUAAGGCAAACAGAAGGAGGCAAGGAACGGGACGGGACUGCAUCAAUUGCUGUCUGGAACCAAUCUUGUGGGAUGACUUCUGGACAGGGAAAAAACAAUUUCAUCAUCUACCCUAAUACUGACGAAUGUUCUAAAACGUGCUGUAAGGCAGACAUUUCCAAAUGUAACGGAGGAAAGUUUCGAGACAUGUAAUGGUUUCAACACGCUGCUGAGACCCAACUCAAGAGACGUCAGUUUGUACUGUUUAGUCCAUUCUCUAUUGGGCAUGCUUGUAUUGAGAGGUAUAUAUAUUGGAGUACAGACAUGGUGUUUGGUAUGAGUAUUAUAUACAUCCUCUUGAGUCAAAUAGGACCGGUAGCCACUUUGAACUCCGUGUCCGAAAGGGUCAAAGUAUGGAGCUCCCGGUACUCAGAAAAAAAAUUCUGGCCUAUUAGUUUUGAACUUUCGAGUCAAGUUUGGUGUCAUUUUUAUGUAAACUAUUCGUUUCGUUUUUAAAUUGAAGAAGAUUAAAAAUCACAGUAAUAUUAUAAAGGCAAAAGUUUGUGAGCAUACUGUGUUUGUUACUUCCUCACGCCACGCCCAAGUGCCUUAACAAAUAUUAUUUAUAAAAUUAAGUAUGGAGGAAGUACGAUAUACCCUAAGUUAACACGUCACUUCUUCUUGAUCGUGGGUAACACUCGGGGCGCAGUAUAAUGAUUAUUAAAAAUCUUUAUGCUGUCCCCUAUGCUGCGAUGGCGAUCGUUGCAGUACUUUCAAUAUUUUUUUUACAUCAAAUAUUAGAAUCAUCAAAGAUUACUAAUAAAAUAGGCUUUUUAGAAAUAUUUUUUAAAAAUCAUGAUUAGUAUAAAAAUACGGAAAUAUGAGGAUUUGUUUGCAUUUCGUGGCUACUAAAAAUUCAUUUAAAUUAUUAAAUAUUGUGCUAUAUUUUGCUAUGGAACCCUAAAAAAGUAGUUACAUAAAAAUGACACUAAAAUUGACUCAAAAGCUCAAACUAAUCGGCCAGAAUUUUUUUCUGAGCAGCAGGAGCUCCAUACUUUGACCCCCUCUCCCCCCUUCGGACACGGAGUUCAAAGUGGCUACCGGUCUUGUUUGACUCGGGAGGACGUGUAUAAUACCCAUACUAAACGCCAAUGCUCUACUCAAAAAUUCACCUUUUCCCAAUAGAGAACGGACUGUGUUAGACAGUGCAUGUUGUUACACGGUAAAUUUUUCUAGAAGACCAAAUUUAUAAGUUCCUUAGUUAUUCUAUUUUUAACUAAAUAAGUUCUUGUACUAUAAGCAGUGAUCGGAAUAGGCAGAGUAGAUAUAUUUAUUUUUAAACGAAAUGACUUCCUUGCGAUAGUAUUUUUUCAGUACAGAUGGUGUUUUUUUUACGCACUAGUGCGAGAAGUGGUUCAUUA